rnacentral:rRNA from 1 species
GAACCUACGGGGGGCAGCAGUGGGGAAUAUUGCACAAUGGGGGAAACCCUGAUGCAGCGACGCCGCGUGAGUGAAGAAGUAUCUCGGUACGUAAAGCUCUAUCAGCAGGGAAGAAAAAAAGUCCUUUGGACUUUGGACGGUACCUGACCAAGAAGCCCCGGCUAACUACGUGCCAGCAGCCGCGGUAAUACGUAGGGGGCAAGCGUUAUCCGGAUUUACUGGGUGUAAAGGGGGCGCAGACGGCGAUGCAAGCCAGGAGGGAAAGCCCGGGGCCCAACCCCGGGACUGCUCUUGGAACUGCGUGG